rnacentral:rRNA from 1 species
UGAGGAAUUUUGCGCAAUGGGGGAAACCCUGACGCAGCAACGCCGCGUGAGUGAUGAAGGCCCUUGGGUCGUAAAGCUUUGUCAAGUGGGAAGAACCUGCUUUAUGCUAAUACCAUAUUGCACUGACGGUACCACUGAAGGAAGCACCGGCUAACUCCGUGCCAGCAGCCGCGGUAAUACGGAGGGUGUAAGCGUUAUUCGGAAUUAUUGGGCGUAAAGAGCGCGUAGGCGGCCUUUUAAGUCAGAUGUGAAAGCCCGAGGCUUAACCUCGGAAGUGCAUUUGAAACUAAGAGGCUUGAGUAUGGGAGAGGGAAGUGGAAUUCCUGGUGUAGAGGUGAAAUUCGUAGAUAUCAGGAGGAACACCGGUGGCGAAGGCGACUUCCUGGACCAAUACUGACGCUGAGGCGCGAAGGCGUGGGGAGCAAACAGG